AUUAUGCAGGGCUAGCCAAAGGAGCCUAAACCAUGUAGGACAAAAUUGCAAAGAUAUAGACAUUAUUAUUUUUAACUUUUGUUUUAGUUUGUCAUCUAUAUCUGGGCUUUUUAUGCUCAGGAAAAACGUGGAACUCACUAUGAAAUGCAGAAUCUCUGCAAAUCAGUCCCGAGAGCCCCCACGAUCCUUCACUGAAGUCAAGGAAUCGAACACUCAGCUCGUAGAGCGGAUUGCUCAUUCCUCGCAGCUGAUAUCACAUGGGGGCCUACACUGGUCUGGAGUAAAGAGAAAUAAAUCGGAAACUUGCGAUAACUCUAGAACCAUGGUCCUUAAAGUACGGCUCCCCAACCAGCACCAUCAGUUUCACCUGGGAACUUGUUAGAAAUGCAGUUUCUCAGAACCCAGCCCAGACCUGCUCUGUCAGAAGCUCUAGGGGUGCCUCGUAUUCUCCAUUUAGCAAGUUCUCCAGUUGAUUCUGCUGCAGGCUGAACUUUGAGAACCACUGCUCUGGAUAAGAUUGAAGGCAAUUCCCGAAAGCUGAAGAGAGAUCACCAUAGACAUGUGGCAUCAUCUGUAUAUCCUCUAGUAGAAAGCAGGAGCCGCACUCCCCAGGUCUAGAACCGGAAGUGCGCCUCAUUAUGAAAUGAGCCACAUUUGAAGCUUUGCAAAGAUACGUGCAAGGCCCUAGACCAAGAAUCAGCAGCAUUGGCUGAGGGUUUCACAUCUUCUGAUUAUCUUUUGCUACAAACGUGGUUAUUUAUGUACUCCCAAUUACAAUCUUGUAAUUUUACCUUCCAUAGGGAAUAUCGCACUAAGCCAGUCAUUUAGACCACAAGAAAUUAAAAAAUUAAAUCAAGCUAGGAAAUCCUGGGUACAAAUUUUGUCCAUUGUGGCACUUUAUAGGUGGCCAGCUCAAGUGGUAGAUAUCUUACUCUCUGAAGUUCACCCCUCUCUCAUCCCUAUGGCAGCUCAACUUUCUAUUAGAUUCCAAUUCUUGAGAAAACAAAGCCAGCCUUUCUGCCUCAUUUUUGGGGCACAAUCCUAGAGUGAAGAUAAAAUCAUUUUCCAUAUCACUUCCUAACACCCCAGUGUGGGCAGAGGAGAGUAGGGCUUUAAGGGUAGAAAAGCAAAAGUAGGAUCUUCUUGGCAAGAAGAGAAAAAUACAUAAACCUGUUGGAAAAUAAAACAAAAACUUCUCACCCAUCAAAUGACCACUCCAUCCAGCAACAGAGUUUAAAAUACUUCGAAGAGCCAUACUACGUUGGAAACAGUAAACUCUGGAUUCAAAUAUACUGUUGGUAUUCAGAGUCUCAGAACAAUCCUCAAGUCCCAGCUUUGCUCCACUUAUGCUCAUAUUUUCAAAUGAUUAUUUUUGUGCUGAAGGAAAUACCUGUAGGACUCAAAGUUACUUUGGAGACAUAUAGAAAAUAAGAUUUAUGCGUGAGCGUUCAGAAGAAAUGAAAGCAUUUACACGGGCCGUCUUCCAGCCAGUCUGGUAUCUUGAAGAGGAUGUCACCAAAUCAGGUACCUCUUCAAUGAAGGACCUUGGCUGCCUCUCCGUCUGUGCUAUGGUUACUUUCUUAGUGAACCAGGAAUUCUCUUCUUCAUGAGGCUCCUUUGCACAGCUGAAUUUCAUGCAAAUGGAAGAAUGUCUCCUCUCUAAGAAUCCUAUUAAGGACAUAUGGGAAUUAAAAUAAGGUUUUAAGGUGGCCAAGGGGUAAAUUGAAGCAUUUCAUGUGCCUCGUUAAAACAAAAUACCACAAUUGAAAAAGAAUGAACCUUUAAAACCAAUUGUCUGAGACCUCACCCCAGGAAGUUUUAUUUUCCUACAGAUUAAGCAUGUAUUUUCAUUUUCUUGGAAAGAGAUCUGCUUGUAACAGUGUUUUAUGUACAGUUUAAGUGCCAUUACUGUGGUGUCACAGGAAAAUGUGCUUUGCUUCUUGAGUGUUCUCUGGGUCUUUCCUUCCUGCUCCCUGUCAAGACAUGUCUUCAGCUCCUGGUCCGUUCAUGCCUGAAAUGUUCAAAUAUAUGUACAUACGCACUACGAAUUUGUCUAAAACUUGGCAAAUAAUGCCAUCACCCCUCCUGCACCCCAUAUUUUCACUUGUAGCUAAGCCUCCUUGACCUAGGCUCCUUGACAUAUUAGUCUGAAUGUCAGGAGAUUUUUGAUGCUAUUUCUAAACCAAAACACAACCAUUUUGAGAAGGAAAUAAAAAGCACUU
ensembl:lncRNA